rnacentral:tRNA from 1 species
GGUCGGUUGGCCGAUAGGUUAGGCAACGGUCUGCAAAACCGUGCAGAGCGGUUCGAUUCCGCUACCGACCUCCA